CUACGGAGGAUCCGAGCGUUAUCCGGAUUUAUUGGGUUUAAAGGGUGCGCAGGCGGCCAUUUAAGUCAGCGGUUAAAUCGUGGGGCUCAACCCCAUUCUGCCGUUGAUACUGGGUGGCUUGAUUGCGGUCGAGGUUGGCGGAAUUCGUUGUGGAGCGGUGAAAUGCAUAGAUAUGACGAAGAACACCGAUUGCGUAGGCAGCUGACCAGACCGCAAAUGACGCUCAUGCACGAAAGUGCGGGGAUCGAACAGGAUUAGAUACCCUGGUAGUCCGCACAGUAAACGAUGAAUACUUGUUUUCGGCGAUAUAAUGUCGGAGGCAAAGCGAAAGCGAUAAGUAUUCCACCUGGGGAGUACGCCGGCAACGGUGAAACUCAAAGGAAUUGACGGG
rnacentral:rRNA from 1 species